CCCUUAGAUGUUCUGGGCCCCACGCGCGCUACACUGAUGCAUUCAACGAGUCUAAAACCUGCUCUGAUAGGGGUGGGUAAUCUUUUGAAUGUGCAUCGUGAUUGGGAUAGAUGAUUGCAAUUUUUCAUCUUCAACGAGGAAUGCCUAGUAAACGCAAGUCAUCAGCUUGCAUUGAUUACGUCCCUGCCCUUUGUACACACCGCCCGUCGCUCCUACCGAUUGAAUGAUCCGAUGAAUAUCAUGGAUUGAGGAUGCAAGCAGGUUCGCCUGUCUUCAUCUUCGAGAAGUGAAGUAAAUCUUAUCAUUUAGAGGAAGGAGAAGUCGUAACA
rnacentral:rRNA from 1 species